rnacentral:lncRNA from 1 species
CAAGAGAUCGACUAGGCUCUUCACGGUCAUCUGAUGGUUGUCGUACCGCCUUUUCCUCAUCUCUUUAGUUUUUGCUACCAAUGAUUAUGUGAUAGAGGUUUUAUGUUAUUUGAAAACUGCUCUGUUCCUGGAUGAGAGUUUUGGAACAUAGUGUGAACCUGUGUGUCUGUGAUCUGAGCUUUGAAGAUCUGAUUAUGUGGUUAAUGUCUCCUUGUAGUAUCUUCUAAAUGGUUGCUGUGAUUUGUCUUCACUCUAUUGCCUGUCUGAUGCGUGUAGUGUUUUUUGCUAAUUUUAUAUUACAGUCUAUUAAAUUAGCUUGAAUUAUUGUUUGUAGGAUGUAUUUCGAAUUAUCUACCUGUCGGGAAACAAUUUAUAUUAAUGUGAACCUGUGUGUCUGUGAUCUGAGCUUUGAAGCAUGAUGUGACUAUAUUACUGUUUUAGGUGUUGACUUCAUGUCAGAAAAUGUUCGGGCAGUACUUGAUCAAGCAGGAUUUAAUAAGGUAUUUUUAAUUAGUGUUUCCAGAAGUCUAAUUGUCAUGCCAUUUUCACUAAGAGCAUACUGUGAGAAUAAAGCUAAGAGUAGGUUUGUAUAUGCACUUAUACCAUGUUAUUACAUUAGUGAAAUAGUGAAGUAACAUCAUUUGGGAACCUUGUUAUGAGCUUAUUCUCUUGCUAGUUCAGGCUCCACUUUUAUACACUAUCCUGGAGUGGCAGUUGGGAUGAAUACUGGAACGAUCCUAGUCUGAUCCAAUUUAUCUGUUGUGCUACCAUGUAUGUAUUUUGCGAAUUAGCUCUUUCUGAACUUUGAGUUUACUGUGGAUGUGAUUAUGCAAAAUACAGAGAAAGUUGUAGUAAAAGAAGAUUAUUACCAUAACCAGACUAUCCGAGCAGAACAAAUGACCGACUGUUCCCAAACUUGCAUUAGUUAAUGUAAUAAGUGAUAUCUUGGUAUGAUGUUUAAAUAAGUCUGAUCAAAAUAGUAGUUAACUUCAGCAUAUCGUGCUUGUCAUUUUUUGUUGUCUUCACUCUAUGCAUGUAGUGUUUUUUUUGCUAAUUUUAUAUUACAGUCUAUUAAAUUAGCUUGAAUUAUUGUUUGUAGGAUGUAUUUCGAAUUAUCUACCUGUGGGGAAACAAUUUAUAUUAAUUGCCGAUCUAGUUAUUCUGAA